rnacentral:rRNA from 1 species
GAGUGGCGAACUGGUGAGUAACACGUGGGAAAUCUGCCCAGAAGCAGGGGAUAACACUUGGAAACAGGUGCUAAUACCGUAUAACAACAAAAUCCGCAUGGAUUUUGUUUGAAAGGUGGCUUCGGCUAUCACUUCUGGAUGAUCCCGCGGCGUAUUAGUUAGUUGGUGAGGUAAAGGCCCACCAAGACGAUGAUACGUAGCCGACCUGAGAGGGUAAUCGGCCACAUUGGGACUGAGACACGGCCCAAACUCCUACGGGAGGCAGCAGUAGGGAAUCUUCCACAAUGGACGAAAGUCUGAUGGAGCAAUGCCGCGUGAGUGAAGAAGGGUUUCGGCUCGUAAAACUCUGUUGUUAAAGAAGAACACCUUUGAGAGUAACUGUUCAAGGGUUGACGGUAUUUAACCAGAAAGCCACGGCUAACUACGUGCCAGCAGCCGCGGUAAUACGUAGGUGGCAAGCGUUGUCCGGAUUUAUUGGGCGUAAAGCGAGCGCAGGCGGUUUUUUAAGUCUGAUGUGAAAGCCUUCGGCUUAACC